rnacentral:rRNA from 1 species
ACGGGUGAGUAAUAUAUCGGAACGUACCCAGGAGUGGGGGAUAACGUAGCGAAAGUUACGCUAAUACCGCAUACGUCCUAAGGGAGAAAGCAGGGGAUCCAAGACCUUGUGCUCAUGGAGCGGCCGAUAUCUGAUUAGCUAGUUGGUGGGGUAAAAGCCUACCAAGGCAACGAUCAGUAGCUGGUCUGAGAGGACGACCAGCCACACUGGAACUGAGACACGGUCCAGACUCCUACGGGAGGCAGCAGUGGGGAAUUUUGGACAAUGGGGGCAACCCUGAUCCAGCAAUGCCGCGUGAGUGAAGAAGGCCUUCGGGUUGUAAAGCUCUUUUGUCAGGGAAGAAAAGGCUGUGGCUAAUAUCCACGGCUCAUGACGGUACCUGAAGAAUAAGCACCGGCUAACUACGUGCC